UACGGAGGGAGCUAGCGUUGUUCGGAAUUACUGGGCGUAAAGCGCACGUAGGCGGCUAUUCAAGUCAGAGGUGAAAGCCCGGGGCUCAACCCCGGAACUGCCUUUGAAACUAGAUAGCUUGAAUCCAGGAGAGGUGAGUGGAAUUCCGAGUGUAGAGGUGAAAUUCGUAGAUAUUCGGAAGAACACCAGUGGCGAAGGCGGCUCACUGGACUGGUAUUGACGCUGAGGUGCGAAAGCGUGGGGAGCAAACAGGAUUAGAUACCCCGGUAGUCC
rnacentral:rRNA from 1 species